UGGAUGGUGAAUAAAAGAAAACAAUCAUCCUCCGUUGAAAGAUAGCCAUCAUGGCCAUUCACGAUGACUCUGUCGCAUCUUCGAUUUUGAAUCCAAAACAAAACAACAACCAAAAAAAAAAAAAAAAAAAAACCUGCCAAAAACUUGACGUGAUUAGAGCGGUCUCCAUUCGCUCAGCGGAGUUUGUGCCGUUAAUCAUUAAGUAAUAAAUAGUACAACACGCCAGUUGGUGAUUCUUUACAAUCUCUUGAUAACGCGCUUUCAGAACUGCUACAGAACCAUUAUUGCUCCAUCGUCACUGAUUGGGGCCUUAUUCAUCUAUCACGAUCCAUUUUUAGGAUCUCGACUGGCGCUGGCGCUGGUGGCUUCUUAUUGUUGAAGAAUUGUCACUCGAUGAUGCUGGAGUUGUGGCUUGAUGACAAAAGCUGCUUCACCUGCUGCUGUAGCUAGCCACUGCGUAGAUAUGGGCGAAGGAGGCUCUCUGCAGGUUGAUAAUAAUAUAUACGCAUACGCAUAUGACCAACUGGGUGGUGCCAGGGCUGAGAGAGGCCGAAGAAGAUGAAUGUUGGCGGAAUCCUGCAUCAGAAAACUUAUUCCGUGACUUGGCGGAGAUAUUACAUCCGAUUGGAUGGGAUAGACAAGCUGGUAUGGAUUUACGGUAAAGAAGCUGCUGCUUCUGGAACUUGUGGACACAAGCAUGAGUUGGGGAAAGAUAUCAAAUCUCAUACAGAUCUGUACACAUUCUCGA
rnacentral:sRNA from 1 species